rnacentral:misc_RNA from 1 species
UACGGGAGUGGCAAGCGUUAUCCGGAAUUAUUGGGCGUAAAGCGUCCGCAGGCGGUCUUGUAAGUCUGUCGUUAAAGCGUGGAGCUUAACUCCAUUUAAGCGAUGGAAACUGCAAGACUAGAGUGUGGUAGGGGCAGAGGGAAUUCCCGGUGUAGCGGUGAAAUGCGUAGAUAUCGGGAAGAACACCAGUGGCGAAGGCGCUCUGCUGGGCCAUAACUGACGCUCAUGGACGAAAGCCAGGGGAGCGAAAGGG